rnacentral:rRNA from 1 species
CCUACGGGUGGCAGCAGUGAGGAAUAUUGGUCAAUGGGCGCGAGCCUGAACCAGCCAAGUAGCGUGAAGGAUGACUGCCCUCCGGGUUGUAAACUUCUUUUAUAAAGGAAUAAAGUGAGGCACGUGUGCCUUUUUGUAUGUACUUUAUGAAUAAGGAUCGGCUAACUACGUUCCAGCAGCCGCGGUAAUACGGAGGAUCCGAGCGGUAUCCGGAUUUAUUGGGUUUAAAGGGAGCGUAGGUGGGUUGUUAAGUCAGUUGUGAAAGUUUGCGGCUCAACCGUAAGAUUGCAAUUGAUACUGGCAGCCUUGAGUACAGUUGAGGUAGGCGGAAUUCGUGGUGUAGCGGUGAAAUGCUUAGAUAUAACGAAGAACUCCGACUGCGAAGGCAGCUUACUAAACUGCCACUGACAUUGAUGCUCGAAAGUGUGGGUAUCAAACAGGAUUAGAUACCCUGGUAGUC